AUAUAGCACAAAUUCAAGGUUUUGUUUUGAUCACAACUUGUACAACUGCCUCAGACUUUAAGGGGUUAAAGGGACACUAUAGUCACCUGAACAACUUUAGCUUAAUGAAGCAGUUUUGGUGCAUAGAACAGCCUCACUGCUCAAUCCUCUGCCAUUUAGGAGUUAAAUCCCUUUGUUUAUGAACCCUAGUCACACCUCCCUGCAUGUGACUUGCACAGCCUUCCAUAAACACUUCCUGUAAAGAGAGCCCUAUUUAGGCCUUCUUUAUUGCAAGUUCUGUUUAAUUAAGAUUUUUGUUAUCCCCUGCUAUGUUAAUAGCUUGCUAGACCAUGCAAGAGCCUCCUGUAUGUGAUUAAA